rnacentral:rRNA from 1 species
UACGGAGGGGGCUAGCGUUGUUCGGAAUUACUGGGCGUAAAGCGCACGUAGGCGGCUUUGUAAGUUAGAGGUGAAAGCCCAGGGCUUAACCCUGGAAUUGCCUUUAAGACUGCAUCGCUAGAAUCGUGGAGAGGCGAGUGGAAUUCCUGGUGUAGCGGUGAAAUGCGCAGAUAUCAGGAGGAACACCGAUUGCGAAGGCAGCUCGCUGGGACGUAACUGACGCUGAGACGCGAAAGCGUGGGGAGCAAACAGG